rnacentral:rRNA from 1 species
GCAUGCCGCGUGCAGGACGAAGGCCUUCGGGUUGUAAACUGCUUUUGUACGGAACGAAACGGCUCUCUCUAAUACAGGGGGCUAAUGACGGUACCGUAAGAAUAAGCACCGGCUAACUACGUGCCAGCAGCCGCGGUAAUACGUAGGGUGCGAGCGUUAAUCGGAAUUACUGGGCGUAAAGCGUGCGCAGGCGGUUUUGUAAGACAGAUGUGAAAUCCCCGGGCUCAACCUGGGACCUGCAUUUGUGACUGCAAAGCUAGAGUACGGCAGAGGGGGAUGGAAUUCCGCGUGUAGCAGUGAAAUGCGUAGAUAUGCGGAGGAACACCGAUGGCGAAGGCAAUCCCCUGGGCCUGUACUGACGCUCAUGCACGAAAGCGUGGGGAGCAAACAGGAUUAGAUACCCUGGUAGUCCACGCCCUAAACGAUGUCAACUGGUUGUUGGGUCUUCACUGACUCAGUAACGAAGCUAACGC